AACGCUGGCGGCGUGCCUAAUACAUGCAAGUAGAACGCUGAAGGAGGAGCUUGCUUCUCCGGAUGAGUUGCGAACGGGUGAGUAACGCGUAGGUAACCUGCCUGGUAGCGGGGGAUAACUAUUGGAAACGAUAGCUAAUACCGCAUAAGAGUAGAUGUUGCAUGACAUUUGCUUAAAAGGUGCAAUUGCAUCACUACCAGAUGGACCUGCGUUGUAUUAGCUAGUUGGUGGGGUAACGGCUCACCAAGGCGACGAUACAUAGCCGACCUGAGAGGGUGAUCGGCCACACUGGGACUGAGACACGGCUCAGACUCCUACGGGAGGCAGCAGUAGGGAAUCUUCGGCAAUGGACGGAAGUCUGACCGAGCAACGCCGCGUGAGUGAAGAAGGUUUUCGGAUCGUAAAGCUCUGUUGUAAGAGAAGAACGAGUGUGAGAGUGGAAAGUUCACACUGUGACGGUAUCUUACCAGAAAGGGACGGCUAACUACGUGCCAGCAGCCGCGGUAAUACGUAGGUCCCGAGCGUUGUCCGGAUUUAUUGGGCGUAAAGCGAGCGCAGGCGGUUAGAUAAGUCUGAAGUUAAAGGCUGUGGCUUAACCAUAGUACGCUUUGGAAACUGUUUAACUUGAGUGCAAGAGGGGAGAGUGGAAUUCCAUGUGUAGCGGUGAAAUGCGUAGAUAUAUGGAGGAACACCGGUGGCGAAAGCGGCUCUCUGGCUUGUAACUGACGCUGAGGCUCGAAAGCGUGGGGAGCAAACAGGAUUAGAUACCCUGGUAGUCCACGCCGUAAACGAUGAGUGCUAGGUGUUAGACCCUUUCCGGGGUUUAGUGCCGCAGCUAACGCAUUAAGCACUCCGCCUGGGGAGUACGACCGCAAGGUU
rnacentral:rRNA from 1 species